UACGGGGGGGGGUAAGCGUUGUUCGGAAUUACUGGGCGUAAAGGGCUCGUAGGCGGCCAACUAAGUCAGACGUGAAAUCCCCUCAGCUUAACUGGGGAACUGCGUCUGAUACUGGAUGGCUUGGAUUCGGGAGAGGAAUGCGGAAUUCCAGGUGUAGCGGUGAAAUGCGUAGAUAUCUGGAGGAACACCGGUGGCGAAGGCGGCAUUCUGGACCGACAUUGACGCUGAGGAGCGAAGCCAGGAGCAAAGCGGG
rnacentral:rRNA from 1 species